UAAGAAUGUAAGCUCAUUACUUCUAUGGUUUCAGAGCACCAGACUGCAACCUUUUUAUCUGAGUGAGUGGAAAAAAAGCAUUCAGAUGGACACAAAUAGGAAGAAUGGAGUAGAGGGUUCAGCUUACAGGGAGGAGCGUUUAUGGCCUUACGUCAAUGAAGCACAGGUUACGGCAUGGCAAGAGUCUGUUUACCAAGGACCCUUUGGUAACACUGCUUACUGACUGGCUAUGAAGUGGUGGCUUGGCUGCAGCUCUGCUGAGGAUGCCAGAGAACAGGACAGUACCAGAAAACGCUGCUCUAUCUGAAAUCAGUGAGGCCAAGGUCCUAAGGUAAUUGUGGUCUUUUGCUGUUCAAGGUCAAGGCCUUUUUCCUCCUUAUAGGCCAGUUUCAAGCUCAUUUUAAACCAAUUCCCACUCCCCUCUAAUCUGUGACAAAAAGAAGAGAAAUUCUGCCAGGAUGACAGCUAAUGACAGAAGCAGAAAUGAGAUUCAGAUAGAGACACAGUGCCUCUAAAUUCCUGAAGAAGAUGCUACUCCUUGGGGUUAAAUUGAUAAUGAUUGGCUCAGUCAUUGUCUGGGAGCAGUCCAUAGGAAGUGGACUAUUGGUGGGAACACAGUGAUGAUGUCAAAAUUCAGAAGCUGGGGUUCUCAGGUUUUGCUUUGUGGCUACCACAAGCCUGGAAAGGCUUCUUCUGAAGAAAGAGAUGUAUGAAUCAAAUACAUUCAAAAACAAUUGCUCCAAGGAGUAUUAUAAUAAUUUCUUUCACUGCCCUAACACAAUCUUCUGAUAAACUCUUAAGAUUUCUAUCUGGGAAAGAAGAUUUUCCAAGAAGAGAUUGUGGUACUCAACACUAACAACUCCCUCUAGACAUCAGACAUGCUCCUGUUCAGAUCUACACACUUUCUUAUGACAGCACCUAGAGGAAGAAAUGAAUGGGAUGGAACUUACUGAACAGCUACUAUAUAGCAGAUGGAGUCUUGCUCUGUCACCAGGCUGGAGGGCAGUGGCGUGAUCUCGGCUCACUGCAACCUCUGCCUCCCAGGGUCAAGUGGUUCUCCUGCCUCAGCCUCCUGAGUAGCUGGGACUACAGAUUUAUAGGAGAAAGGGUCUGGAAAUUCCUUGAGAUUUAAAUUUGAUAAAAUUUAAAUUUGUGGACUGAAGUGGCUCUUACCAGAAAAAAUACUCGAAGAGGGAAUUUGUAACAAGAGGAAUAUGGGGUUUCAAGUGGGGAUUAAAUCUUGAAUCAAGGACCAGAGACUGAGGAAGACAGAUGAUUCAGAACCUAUGAAGCAGCAGAUACUGAAACCUAAUCUGACGUCACAAACCUGACAGCUACUUUGUGACUCAGAAAGAGAUCAAGGCACAGACAUCAGAGUCCAAGUCUUGCUGUGAGGACACAGGGAGAAGACAGCCAUCUACAAAACAAGGAUAGAGCCUCACAAUAAAAACCACCCCGCAGCUACCUUGAUCUUGAACUUCUAAUCUCUAGAAUGGCUGUACAAGAAGCAUGGCACUGGCAUCUGUCUGACUUCUGGCAAGGGCCUCAGGCUGCUUCUACUCAUAAGAGAAGGUGAAGGGGACCCAGAUGUGCAGAGAUCACAUGGCAAGAGAGGAAGCAAGAGAGAGAAGAGGGAUUUGCCAGGCUCCUUUUAACAACAAGCUACCUGGGAGCUAAUAGAGUAAGAACUCACUCAGCCCUGAGGGAGGGCAUUAAUCUACUAACAAGAUAUCUGCCCCCAUGACUCAAACACUUCUCAUUAGACUCCACCCCCUACAUGAGAUUUGGUAGGGACAGACAAAUCAUAGCUGCUAUACUAUAUUAUAAUUUGUAUUGUUAUGAUAUACCUCUUCUGCUAUAAAAAAAUGGAGUUAACUGUAAAACAGCCUCAGGCAGGUCCUUUAGAAGGUAUUACAGAAGAAGGCAUUUUUAUCAAAGGAGAUGAUGACUCCAUGCAUGCCACUGCCCCUGAACACCUUCCAGUGGGACAACAUGUGGAGAUGAAUGACAAAUGAAAAUAUGGGAAGGUGAUAAAGAAUAAAAUUUCUAUUUUCCU